rnacentral:rRNA from 1 species
AACGAACGCUGGCGGCAUGCCUAACACAUGCAAGUCGAACGAGACCUUCGGGUCUAGUGGCGCACGGGUGCGUAACGCGUGGGAACCUGCCUUUAGGUUCGGAAUAACAGUGAGAAAUUACUGCUAAUACCGGGUGAUGUCUUCGGACCAAAGAUUUAUCGCCUUUAGAUGGGCCCGCGUUGGAUUAGCUAGUUGGUGGGUAAAGGCCUACCAAGGCGACGAUCCAUAGCUGGUCUGAGAGGAUGAUCAGCCACACUGGGACUGAGACACGGCCCAGACUCCUACGGGAGGCAGCAGUGGGGAAUAUUGGACAAUGGGCGAAAGCCUGAUCCAGCAAUGCCGCGUGAGUGAUGAAGGCCUUAGGGUUGUAAAGCUCUUUUACCCGAGAUGAUAAUGACAGUAUCGGGAGAAUAAGCUCCGGCUAACUCCGUG